rnacentral:lncRNA from 1 species
GCGCGGCCCGGUGCUGGUAGAGCACUGACCCCGAAGGGGAUUUAGCGGGAAGAGAGUGGCCGGGCUCUGGGGGUUUUGUCCGAGGGGGCCGGGAGAGGCCGAGACACAAGAAUAAGGAGCGGCCGCGGCAUGAAAGGCGGCGAGGAGAGGCAGCACUGCUGCUCUUGACUUCUGAGCAGGGCUUAGAGAGCCUGCCCCGGCUUAAGCCGAGCUGCUGGUGCUGACCCUGAGCGCCGAGUCCGCGAGCUCUGAGUCCGGAGCCUCCCAGCCGUGGAGCCGUGGGAUGAGGGGGGCGUUGGGGGACAGGGCAAAGUCGAUCUUGGUUGUACAGCCGCCCGAUCCUAGCGCGGAGCUGCGAGCCUGACCGGCCGCGUCUGGCAUGGUCAGAGAAAGAAUUUUCUUUUCCCAACUCCGGCUUUUGGUUUUGUGUGUCCACCUUGCGCAACUCCGGAGCCAGCCGACCCCACAUGGAUUCUCAACAGGUGGCCGGGAAAGUCUGGAGACUCACCAAGCUGAGGAGGAAGAAGGGAACAUCUCAACCCAAGCUGAAUUCUGAAGAACACUUGGCCCCAUCUUCCAGAAAUCCUAAAUCACAUAGAGGGAAAGUUUUGGCCAGGGCACCAAGAAUGAACCAGAAGCUGAGUCCAUUACUCCAAUUUUCACAUUAACCAGGAGACACAUUGAAAAUUCUUUUCUUGAGUGAGAGACUGAAAUUUUGGCUCAAGGGUGUUUCUGUUGGGUCUUCUCUUUAUAUGGCAUGUGAGGACUGCAUCCCACGUCACAUCUGCAGCCACUCCCAGAUUACACUGCAAGGGAGGGUAGAUUAGGAGUGGGUAGGGAGUAGAGGGGUCUGUAGACACAGCAAAAGCAGCAAGCUGGUGUGGGAAAACCCAGAAAAUAUGUCUCAGAGACAGCCAGUGGCUGCACAUACAAAAGGAAGGCACCUACCUGGAAGAGAAGGGGUUGUGAAGUUCUGCCCAGAGUCACAGCGCUGACGUCCUCAGAAGGUCUCCAGCCCUCUGCAGCAAUCUAUAG